rnacentral:misc_RNA from 1 species
UGCAUACAAGAGAAGGCUAGGCUUAGGCCUACCAUGGCUCAUGUGGUGGAAAUGCUUGAAGACCGGGUGGCUGUGGAGGAGCCCCCUGAUACCCAAAUGAUUGUUAUAGAUUUGAUGUCAAUUGAUGACGAUGCACCUGAUGGCCAUAAGAGGGCAACUAUUGCUGCAUUGCCAACAGAUCAAUUAGAUGGCACCAAUCCUACCACUUCAUACGCAUAUUCCAUGUCAGUCAUCUCCGGAAGAUAGCUCCUGCUCCUACUCCUAGUUUGGCUUCUUGUUUCUUCUUCAGGCUUCUUUUAGCUCUAAGGUAUAUUCAUUUUCUUCU